rnacentral:rRNA from 1 species
CCUACGGGAGGCAGCAGCGAGGAAUCUUGGUCAAUGGGCGCAAGCCUGAACCAGCGACGCCGCGUGGGGGAAGAAGGCCCUUGGGUUGUAAACCCCUGUUGCGUGGGACGAAGAACUGACGGUACCACGCGAGGAAGCCACGGCUAACUACGUGCCAGCAGCCGCGGUAAUACGUAGGUGGCAAGCGUUGUCCGGAUUUACUGGGCGUAAAGCGCGCGCAGGCGGUGCGCUAAGUCUGGUGUGAAAGCUCCCGGCUCAACUGGGAGAGGGCACUGGAGACUGGCGGACUGGAGGCGGGUAGAGGCCGGUGGAAUUCCCGGUGUAGUGGUGAAAUGCGUAGAGAUCGGGAGGAACACCCGUGGCGAAAGCGGCCGGCUGGGCCUUGCCUGACGCUGAGGCGCGAAAGCGUGGGGAGCGAACCGGAUUAGAUACCCCAGUAG